CCAAUAGCGUAUAUUAAAGUUGUUGCAGUUAAAAAGCUCGUAGUUGAACCUUAGGCCCGUGCGGGUGGUCCGUCCUCAGGGCGAGCACUGCCUCGUUGCGGGUCUCACCUUCUGGCGAGCGUAGAUGCCAUUUAUUUGGUGUCUGCGGGAACCAGGACCUUUACCUUGAAAAAAUUAGAGUGCUCAAAGCGGGCUCCGACGCUUGAAUACAUUAGCAUGGAAUAAUGAAAUAGGGCGAUGGUUCUAUUUUGUUGGUUUCUGGGACCGUCGUAAUGAUUAAUAGGGAUAGUUGGGGGCAUUCGUAUCCAUUUGUCAGAGGUGAAAUUCUUGGGUUUAUUGAAGACGGACUACUGCGAAAGCAUUUGCCAAGGAUGUUUUCAUUAAUCAAGAACGAAAGUUGGGGGAUCGAAGACGAUCAGAUACCGUCGUAGUCUCAACCAUAAACUAUGCCGACUGGGAAUCGGGCGAUGUUAUUUUUUGUGACUCGCUCGGCGCCCCGAG
rnacentral:rRNA from 1 species